rnacentral:rRNA from 1 species
AUUGAACGCUGGCGGCAGGCCUAACACAUGCAAGUCGAACGAGUGGCGGACGGGUGAGUAAUGUCUGGGAAACUGCCUUAUGGAGGGGGAUAACUACUGGAAACGGUAGCUAAUCCCGCAUACCAUCGGAUGUGCCCAGAUGGGAUUAGCUAGUAGGUGGGGUAAAGGCUCACCUAGGCGACGAUCCCUAGCGGGUCGGAGAGGAUGACCAGCCACACUGGAACGUGGAAACGGGCCAGACGCCUACGGAGGGAAGCAGUGGGGAAGAUUGCACAAGGGGCGCAAGCCUGAUGCAGCCAUGCCGGGUGUAUGAAGAAGACCUUCGGGUUGUAAAGUACUUUCAGCGGGGAGGCGUUACCCGCAGAAGAAGCACCGGCUAACUCCGUGCCAGCAGCCGCGGUAAUAC